rnacentral:lncRNA from 12 species
UUCUCCCUUUCUGGCUCCCCCUCUGCCACACCCCAACUCGUGCUUUCUCUCUUAAAUAAAUAAAUAAAUAAAUAAAUAAAUAAAUAAAUAAAUAAAAUACUUUUUUAAGAAAGCUAUAUGGAUUUACACAAGCCUCUUAACAUUGCUGGUCUCACUUUCCUUACCAAUAAGAUGGAUUCUGGGUUUCCAGGGAAGUUUCUGUGCCAAGGGAGCAUAAGGUCGAGUUAGGAGCCUUUGUAACACAGUUCCUAUUUAAUUUCUCUGUGCCUAGAUUCUUCACCUAUAGAACAGGGAUAUUAGUUUCUAUUUCACAGGGUUGGUGGGGGUAACAAUGGGUUAGUACACAUAAAUGCUGUGCUUGGCACUUAGUAAGCUCUCAAUAAAUGUUAGCUAUCAACUAUGAGUAUCUAGUACAGUAUCAGCUUCCAACUUCAUAGAACUGAGAAUAUUCAGAGAUGUCAUCAUCUUGGAUUCCUUUUCUUGCUCUUUCCUAGCUCCAGAGGCUCAAGAAAUCAGACUCCUUUUGCAACCCCAUUCUGUCCCCACUCCUGUCCAAGCAGGGAUUCCACCCAACUCUCAGCUAUUGUCUAGGCAGUAGUGCAAGCAUGUGGAGGCGUGAGUUGGAGCAAGAGAAGGAAGAAGUGGUGUUAAGGCCAGAUGGCGGGUGUUAGCACAACUUGGGUCUAAAUUGGGAACCACUUACACACUAAUCUGUCUGAAGCUUGAUUCCCUUAUGCAAAGUCAAUGUUGAUCAUGAGUUUGGGCAGCUGGAGGUGUCACUCUGUCAGGUGGGUUCCACUCUCUCCUGUGCUGCCACCUGUCUCACUCCUAUGUGUCUGCAUUCCGCUAUUCUCCAUUUCCCAUCCACACUGGUCAUCACCACUACCUACAUGUCAUAAUGUCAAGGGAGGUGUCCCCAUGUCACAGCAGAAAGUGCCUGUCUCUGCUCAGGAGAGGAGCUUCAUGAGUCCAAGCAUUGUCAGAGCUGGACUCAUCUUCUUGAAAAGAGUGAAUGAAAUGAGAUCAUUAAAGUUGAGGAGGGUUCUAGAAUGGGAGGACAAAUGAACCGAGUAGCAGCAACAUCUCAUGCAGAAUGGUGGUUAAGAGCACGGUGCCUGGGGCCAUAGCAACAGCUUGGAAUCCUGUCUUCCCCACUUAUUAGCAGUGUGAUCUUGGGCAAGUUCUCUGUG